CGAGUGGGCGGGACGGUCGCCUGAUCGGUGAAUUUUCAUCGCGCGGGAGGAAAGUCCGGGCUCCAUAGGACAGGGUGGUCGGUAACCCCGACCGGCUGUGAGGCUAGGGCUAGUGCAGCAGAAAGCAAACCGCCAAACGGCAUGGUUCGCCAUGUGCGUGGUAAGGGUGAAACGGUGCGGUAAGAGCGCACCAGCGUUGGAGGCGACUUCAGCGGCUUGGUAAACCCCACCCGGAGCUAGACCAAACAGAAAGGAACGUCGGUGAAUGCCGGCGGCGAGUCGGUUCGCCUCGCUUGACUUUCGGGUAGGUCGCUAGAGGCGGCGAGCAAUCGUCGUCCCAGAUAAAUGAUCGUCACCAAUCAAACGCUGCACGCAGUUUUUGAAUGGGACAGAACCCGGCUUACAAACCCACUCGCUCA
rnacentral:RNase_P_RNA from 1 species